UGGUGGAGUGAUUUGUCUGGCUAAUUCCGAUAACGAACGAGACCUUAACCUGCUAAAUAGUUACACUAUACCCUGUAUGGUGGCCAACUUCUUAGAGGGACUAUCGAAUUUAAAUCGAUGGAAGUUUGAGGCAAUAACA
rnacentral:rRNA from 1 species